ACCGUAAGAUCAUGAUGAUGAUGAUGAUGAUGAUGAUGUGUACUACACAUAUGAUGAGCCCUACAUCACCAUAAUCAUCAUCAUUGUCAUCAUCACAU
rnacentral:miRNA from 1 species